rnacentral:rRNA from 1 species
CCUACGGGUGGCAGCAGUGGGGAAUAUUGGACAAUGGGCGAAAGCCUGAUCCAGCCAUGCCGCGUGUGUGAAGAAGGCCUUCGGGUUGUAAAGCACUUUCAGUGGGGAAGAAAGCCUUGGGGCUAAUACCCUCGAGGGAGGACAUCACCCACAGAAGAAGCACCGGCUAACUCCGUGCCAGCAGCCGCGGUAAUACGGAGGGUGCGAGCGUUAAUCGGAAUUACUGGGCGUAAAGCGCGCGUAGGCGGUCUGAUAAGCCGGUUGUGAAAGCCCCGGGCUCAACCUGGGAACGGCAUCCGGAACUGUCAGGCUAGAGUGCAGGAGAGGAAGGUAGAAUUCCCGGUGUAGCGGUGAAAUGCGUAGAGAUCGGGAGGAAUACCAGUGGCGAAGGCGGCCUUCUGGACUGACACUGACGCUGAGGUGCGAAAGCGUGGGUAGCAAACAGGAUUAGAUACCCUGGUAGUC